UUGUCUGCGUUUCUGAGAUUGGACCU
rnacentral:piRNA from 1 species